GACGAACGCUGGCGGCGUGCCUAAUACAUGCAAGUUGAGCGCUGAAGGUUGGUACUUGUACCAACUGGAUGAGCAGCGAACGGGUGAGUAACGCGUGGGGAAUCUGCCUUUGAGCGGGGGACAUCAUUUGGAAACGAAUGCUAAUACCGCAUAAAAACUUUAAACACAAGUUUUAAGUUUGAAAGAUGCAAUUGCAUCACUCAAAGAUGAUCCCGCGUUGUAUUAGCUAGUUGGUGAGGUAAAGGCUCACCAAGGCGAUGAUACAUAGCCGACCUGAGAGGGUGAUCGGCCACAUUGGGACUGAGACACGGCCCAAACUCCUACGGGAGGCAGCAGUAGGGAAUCUUCGGCAAUGGACGAAAGUCUGACCGAGCAACGCCGCGUGAGUGAAGAAGGUUUUCGGAUCGUAAAACUCUGUUGGUAGAGAAGAACGUUGGUGAGAGUGGAAAGCUCAUCAAGUGACGGUAACUACCCAGAAAGGGACGGCUAACUACGUG
rnacentral:rRNA from 1 species